UCGUAGGGUGCAAGCUUGUCCGGAAUUAUUGGGCGUAAAGAGCUCGUAGGCGGUUUGUCGCGUCGAAUGUGAAAACCCGGGGCUCAACCCCGGGCCUGCAUUCGAUACGGGCAGACUAGAGUUCGGUAGGGGAGUCUGGAAUUCCUGGUGUAGCGGUGAAAUGCGCAGAUAUCAGGAGGAACACCGGUGGCGAAGGCGGGUCUCUGGGCAGUAACUGACGCUGAGGAGCGAAAGCGUGGGGAGCGAACAGG
rnacentral:rRNA from 1 species